CUACUACUCCCUCCGUCCGAAAAUACUUAUCAUUGAAAUGGAUGUAUCUAGAUGUAUUUUAGUUCUAGACACAUCCAUUUUGAUGACAAGUAAGUCCAGAUGGAGGGAGUAUUAU
rfam:Triticum aestivum genome assembly, contig: Triticum_aestivum_CS42_TGACv1_scaffold_033804_1BL